rnacentral:rRNA from 1 species
GCAGCCGCCGCGGUAAUACGAAGGGUGCAAGCGUUAAUCGGAAUUACUGGGCGUAAAGCGUGCGUAGGCGGUUUGUUAAGUCUGUUGUGAAAUCCCCGGGCUCAACCUGGGAAUGGCAAUGGAUACUGGCAAGCUAGAGUGUGUCAGAGGAUGGUGGAAUUCCCGGUGUAGCGGUGAAAUGCGUAGAGAUCGGGAGGAACAUCAGUGGCGAAGGCGGCCAUCUGGGACAACACUGACGCUGAGGCACGAAAGCGCGGGGAGCAAACAGGAUUAGAGACCCCCGUAGUCCCUGUCUCUUAUAC